UGGGUGGAUUAGUGGCGAACGGGUGAGUAACACGUGAGUAACCUGCCCUUAACUCUGGGAUAAGCCUGGGAAACUGGGUCUAAUACCGGAUAGGAGCGCCUACCGCAUGGUGGGUGUUGGAAAGAUUUAUCGGUUUUGGAUGGACUCGCGGCCUAUCAGCUUGUUGGUGAGGUAAUGGCUCACCAAGGCGACGACGGGUAGCCGGCCUGAGAGGGUGACCGGCCACACUGGGACUGAGACACGGCCCAGACUCCUACGGGAGGCAGCAGUGGGGAAUAUUGCACAAUGGGCGCAAGCCUGAUGCAGCGACGCCGCGUGAGGGAUGACGGCCUUCGGGUUGUAAACCUCUUUCAGUAGGGAAGAAGCGAAAGUGACGGUACCUGCAGAAGAAGCACCGGCUAACUACGUGCCAGCAGCCGCGGUAAUACGUAGGGUGCGAGCGUUAUCCGGAAUUAUUGGGCGUAAAGAGCUCGUAGGCGGUUUGUCACGUCUGUCGUGAAAGUCCGGGGCUUAACCCCGGAUCUGCGGUGGGUACGGGCAGACUAGAGUGCAG
rnacentral:rRNA from 1 species